rnacentral:rRNA from 1 species
AUGCCUUCUCGCGCCCCGUCCGAAGAGGCCUCCGGCGUGGUUGCGCUUCGGAUCAGAGGUGCUCGGCUCCACAUUAUGCUUCAGAGAUCCCUUGCUGCUGGGAAUUGUUUCAUUACUUCACACGUCUUUGCAUUUGUUCCAGAUUGUGCUUUACUCUCAUUUUGUCAUGUGCAGCAAAUUCUCCUCAAGGUGUCCAUUGAUCCCGCCCCCUUGCACUACAGCUUACCACUUAUCUUUUCAAUCACGGGUCGAAAACAAGUACAAAUGGGCAACCGAAGUAUCAGCACCAUUUCAGUAAGAGAAGCUCAAAAGAAAUACACAAAUGCAAUUGCAAAGAUGAAGAGCACAAAGGACCCGGUGUUUAUAACUUUUAAACGGGAAUACAAGCCUCAAGGCACCACUGAUCCACUGCGUGGUGACCAUCCAUUCUCAUAUGUUGGAUACAUUGUUGAGUAUGAAAAGAAUGGGAUAUCAUAUGUCCAGGUCAUAGUAACUGCACGAGGCACACCUAAAAACAACAUCAAAUAUAUCCUGUAA